GUCGCCGGUAAUCGGGAUCAUUGGGUUUAAGGGUGCGCAGGCGGGCGUAUAAGUCAGGGGUGAAAUACUACGGCUCAACCGUGGAACUGCCUUUGAUACUGUAUGUCUUGAGUUUAAUUGAAGUGGGCGGAAUGUAGCAUGUAGCGGUGAAAUGCAUAGAGAUGCUACAGAACACCGAUAGCGAAGGCAGCUCACUAAGUUACAACUGACGCUCAUGCACGAAAGCGUGGGGAUCAAACAGGAUUAGAUACCCUGGUAGUCCACGCUGUGAACGAUGAUCACUCGUUGUUGGCGAUACACAGUCAGCGGCUAAGCGAAAGUGAUAAGUGAUCCACCUGGGGAGUACGAUCGCAAGGUUGAAACUCAAAGGAAUUGACGGGGGCCCGCACAAGCGGUGGAGCAUGUGGUUUAAUUCGAUGAUACGCGAGGAACCUUACCUGGGCUCAAACGUAGUAUGACGUAUGGUGAAAGCUAUAUUUCUUCGGACAUAUUACGAGGUGCUGCAUGGUUGUCGUCAGCUCGUGCCGUGAG
rnacentral:rRNA from 1 species